UACGUAGGGUGCAAGCGUUGUCCGGAAUUAUUGGGUGUAAAGAGCUCGUAGGCGGUCUGUCGCGUCGGCUGUGAAAACCCGGAGCUCAACUCCGGGCCUGCAGUCGAUACGGGCAGACUGGAGUUCGGCAGGGGAGACUGGAAUUCCUGGUGUAGCGGUGAAAUGCGCAGAUAUCAGGAGGAACACCGGUGGCGAAGGCGGGUCUCUGGGCCGAUACUGACGCUGAGGAGCGAAAGCGUGGGGAGCGAACAGG
rnacentral:rRNA from 1 species